UACGAACGCUGGCGGCAGGCCUAACACAUGCAAGUCGAACGCUGUAGCAAUACAGAGUGGUAGACGGGUGAGUAACGCGUGGGAACCUUCCCAGUGGUGCGGAAUAGCCCAGGGAAACUUGGGGUAAUACCGCAUAAGCCCUUAGGGGGAAAGAUUUAUCGCCAUUGGAUGGGCCCGCGUCGGAUUAGCUAGUUGGUGAGGUAAUGGCUCACCAAGGCAACGAUCCGUAGCUGGUUUGAGAGAAUGACCAGCCACACUGGGACUGAGACACGGCCCAGACUCCUACGGGAGGCAGCAGUGGGGAAUAUUGGACAAUGGGCGAAAGCCUGAUCCAGCCAUGCCGCGUGAGUGACGAAGGCCUUAGGGUUGUAAAGCUCUUUUGGCGGGGACGAUAAUGACGGUACCCGCAGAAUAAGUCCCGGCUAACUUCGUGCCAGCAGCCGCGGUAAUACGAAGGGGACUAGCGUUGUUCGGAAUUACUGGGCGUAAAGCGCACGUAGGCGGAUUUGUUAGUCGA
rnacentral:rRNA from 1 species